GAUCUGUAACCUCGGGAAAAUGAUUGGCUCUGAGGGUUGGGCACGGGGGUCCCAGUUUCAAACCUAUCGGUUGUUGGUGGACUGCUUGAGCUGCUUCUGCGGCGAGAGCAGGUCGCCGUGUGCCGAUUGGGAGACGGAUUGGGAACAGGCCCUUCAGGGCCUCUUCCCCGGGCAUCGAACAGUCAACUCUGUACUGGUAC
rnacentral:rRNA from 1 species